AUGGUUAAGCUACUAAGAGCACACGGAGGAUGCCUAGGCGCUAGGAGCCGAUGAAGGACGUGGCGAACAACGAAACUGCCUCGGGGAGCUGUAAGCAAGCUUUGAUCCGGGGGUGUCCGAAUGGGGAAACCCAGCUGGGGUAAUUUCCAGUUACUCAUAACUGAAUACAUAGGUUAUGUAGAGGCAUACCAGGGGAACUGAAACAUCUAAGUACCCUGAGGAAGAGAAAACAAUAGUGAUUCCGUCAGUAGCGGCGAGCGAACGCGGAGAAGCCCAAACCAGAGAGCUUGCUCUUUGGGGUUGUGGGACGUCUCACAUGGAGUUACAAAGGAACCGGUUAAGCGAAGAGGUCUGGAAAGGCCCGCCAAAGAAGGUAAAAGCCCUGUA
rnacentral:rRNA from 1 species